rnacentral:rRNA from 1 species
AAGUGAUCCUACGGUACUGUGUGGAAAGGCCGUAGCUUAACGGAUAAAAGCUACGCCAGGGAUAACAGGCUUAUCUUGCCCAAGAGUUCACAUCGACGGCAAGGUUUGGCACCUCGAUGUCGGCUCGUCGCAUCCUGGGGCUGGAGAAGGUCCCAAGGGUUGGGCUGUUCGCCCAUUAAAGCGGCACGCGAGCUGGGUUCAGACCGUCGUGAGACAGGUCGGUCUCUAUCCGUCGUGGGCGCCGGAGAUUUGAGGGGAGCUCUCCUUAGUACGAGAGGACCAGGAGGGACAGACCUCUGGUGUGCCAGUUGUUCCGCCAGGAGCAGUGCUGGGUAGCUACGUCUGGAAGGGAUAAGCGCUGAAAGCAUCUAAGUGCGAAGCCCACCCCAAGAUUAGAUCUCCCACUGGGUUAACCAGGUAAGGCCGCAAGUAGACUACUUGCUUGAUAGGCGGCAUGUGUAAGCGGAGUAAUCCUCUUAGCUAAGCCGUACUAAUGGCCGAGGCCUUGA